UAAUUUGACCAUCAUCUUUCC
rnacentral:piRNA from 1 species